CACGUAGGGGGCGAGCGUUGUCCGGAUUUAUUGGGCGUAAAGAGCUCGUAGGCGGUUAUGUAAGUCGGGUGUAAAAACUCAGGGCUCAACCCGGAGAGGCCAUCCGAUACUGCAUUGACUUGAGUCCGGUAGGGGAGCACGGAAUUCUUGGUGUAGCGGUGAAAUGCGCAGAUAUCAGGAGGAACACCAGCGGCGAAGGCGGUGCUCUGGGCCGGUACUGACGCUGAGGAGCGAAAGCGUGGGUAGCAAACAGG
rnacentral:rRNA from 1 species